UGAGCAAUCUGCCCUUCUCAUCGGAAUAAGCGUUGGAAACGACGUCUAAUGCCGAAUACGACCUCCUUUCGCAUGAUCGGAGGUGGAAAGCUCCGGCGGAGAAGGAUGAGCUCGCGGCCUAUCAGCUAGUUGGUGUGGGUAAUGGCCCACAAGGCGACGACGGGUAGCCGGCCUGAGAGGGCGACCGGCCACACGUGGGACUGAGACACGGCCCAGACCUCCGUACGGGAGCAG
rnacentral:rRNA from 1 species